AGUCAUCCAGGUAUAUGAAUUAAUAGUAAUCAAAUUUAUAAUUCUUUAGUUACAAGACAUGCAUUUUUAAUAAUUUUUUUUAUAGUUAUACCAUUUAUAAUUGGAGGAUUUGGUAAUUAUUUAAUCCCAUUAAUAUUAAGUUCACCUGAUACAGCUUUCCCACGCAUAAAUAAUAUUAGAUUUUGACUUUUACCUCCGUCAUUAUUUAUAUUAUUAUUAAGAAAUAUAUUUACACCUAAUGUAGAUAAAGGUGGAUAUACAGUUCAUCCUGUACCUACAUUAGGUGUAAAUAUAUUUCUUAAUAAUAACAUAAAUAAUGAUGGAGGUAAAAGUCAAAAUCUAAUAUUAUUUAUGCGUGGGAAAGCUGUAUCAGGUGAACCUAAUAUUAAUGGGAUUAAAUAAUUACCAAAUCCUCCAAUUAUAAAUGGUAUAACUAUAAAAGAAAUUAUUAAAAAUGCAUGUCUUGUAACUAAAGAAUUAUAAAUUUGAUCA
rnacentral:misc_RNA from 1 species